rnacentral:rRNA from 1 species
GAUCCUGGCUCAGGAUGAACGCUGGCGGCGUGCUUAACACAUGCAAGUCGAACGGGAAUUACAUUUUAGCUUGCUAAGUUGUAAUUCUAGUGGCGGACGGGUGAGUAACGCGUGGGGUAACCUGCCUUAUACCGGGGGACAACAGUUGGAAACGACUGCUAAUACCGCAUAAGCGCACAGAUAGGCAUCUAUCAGUGUGAAAAAACUCCGGUGGUAUAAGAUGGACCCGCGUCUGAUUAGCCAGUUGGCGGUGUAACGGACCACCAAAGCGACGAUCAGUAGCCGGCCUGAGAGGGCAAACGGCCACAUUGGGACUGAGACACGGCCCAAACUCCUACGGGAGGCAGCAGUGGGGAAUAUUGCACAAUGGAGGAAACUCUGAUGCAAGCGACGCCGCGUGAGUGAAGAAGUAUUUCGGUAUGUAAAGCUCUAUCAGCAGGAAAGAAAAUGACGGUACCUGACUAAGAAGCCCCGGCUAACUACGUGCCAGCAGCCGC